ACUCCUACGGGAGGCAGCAGUGGGAAUUUUUACGCAAUGGGGGAAAGCCCUCGACGUAGCGACACCGCGUGAGCGAAGAAGCCCUUUGGGGUGUAAACUGGCUACUGUCAGCUGGAACGAAAACAAUGAACGGUACCAGCAGAGGAAGCAUCGGCUAACUACGUGCCAGCAGCCGCGGUAAGACGUAGGAUGCGAGCGUUGUCCGGAUUUAUUGGGCGUAAAGAGUUCGUAGGUGGUUUGUUAAGUUUGGUGUUAAAGAUCGGGCUCAACCCUGGGACUGCACUGAAUACUGGCAGACUCGAGUGUGGUAGAGGCUAGUGGAAUUCCCAGUGUAGCGGUGAAAUGCNUAGAUAUUGGGAAGAACACCGGUGGCGUAGGCGACUAGCUGGGCCAUAACUGACGCUGAGGAACGAAAGCCAGGGGAGCGAAUGGGGAUUAGAUACCCUGGUAGGCUCUGCU
rnacentral:rRNA from 1 species